UACGGAGGGUGCAAGCGUUAUCCGGAUUCACUGGGUUUAAAGGGUGCGUAGGCGGGUUGGUAAGUCCGUGGUGAAAUCUCCGAGCUUAACUCGGAAACUGCCGUGGAUACUAUCAAUCUUGAAUAUCGUGGAGGUAAGCGGAAUAUGUCAUGUAGCGGUGAAAUGCUUAGAGAUGACAUAGAACACCAAUUGCGUAGGCAGCUUACUACACGAUCAUUGACGCUGAUGCACGAAAGCGUGGGGAUCAAACAGG
rnacentral:rRNA from 1 species